AUAUUUACUCUGUUGAAAGUUCCCGUUCACGCGAUGUUUCAAAAUGGCGUCGUAUAAUAUUGCCAAUUUUAAUCUAUUUUCACAAAGAGCUUAUUGUAGAAUGGUUCGCCGAGAAGGAAAUCUUUAUCAGAGUACGCUUUACAUGGUAAGUUAAUUAAAGAGCCAUUUUGUACCCUAAGUUCAACGACUAAAGCUUUGCUUUAAUCAUGUUUUAAUAUUCUUAAGAGUGGCAAAUGACAGUUUAUAUGAAGCCGUGUUCUAGCCGUAAAUCGCUUGUCACGAUAUCAACUCCUAAUGUUUAGGCCAUAUAAUUAAUCUUGCCUUGUCAAAAAGGUUUCUAUUUGGUAUUCUUGUUUCAUUUGGUCAUACCCUCUUGCUUUAAGCGCUAUUAAAAGAGGUUAGUAUUAUUUCUUGACAACCGAUUGAGUCAAGAAAAUACGACAAUAUUGUCAAUAUACAACAGAAAAUAGGCUAUAUCAAGAAGGACAGGCAGUCAGACGGUACAUAAACCGAAUGUUUACAAUGUCCAAGUAAUACUGUCCAAAAUAUUUAAAUUUUGAUUUAAUAUUGCUGUUGACCAAUAAUCCAAUAUAUUUAUAGAAUACAAUUUACAUUUCAUUACAUGGAGUUAUAAGUAUAUAAGUUUGUUUAUUUGCACAAAUGCAGAAUAUUAAAAAUAUAGUUCUUGUUAAAACACGAGGUUGAGUUAGCAAUGUCUAGCACCAGACAAGUUUACUUGUCAAGGAGACAGCACUGGCACUCAAUGAAUUAAUUGACCUGUCUGCCUAUGUGACUACAAAGUAUCCCAUUAAGUUGUAUUUGCACCCUACUCUAUCAUUUUACCCUGUCUAUCACCAGACAAUUUUACUCGCCAUGGUCAAAAAUAUGCAUGUCGACUUAAUGACAAAGAUGUGGUAAGAAAUGCUUUCCCUACCAUGGCACUGGACACUUCAGAAAAGUUCAUUUAACUGCAGAGACUUGUUAGAUGGUUUUCACUAAUAUAAAUGACAAGAGCUGAUUGCCUAAUUGUAUUGGGAGCAUAAACAUCUAUGGCUGGAGUAGAAAAAGCCAUUUUGUGUUAAAUUUAUAUUUAAAUUUUCUUUAUAGAAAUGAUGGCUACAUGUAUCAGCAAGGGCUACAUGUAUCAGCAAGGGCUACUGUAAUGCACAAAAUAUAUGUACCAGCUUGGGACAUGCCUGUAGUUGGUUAAAGAAUCGAUCUAUUCUGAAUCGACAAUUAAAAACCUACAAUUUUGUUUCAAUUACUGUAAGCUGUUGUCUACCAAGGUGAAAGAAAUCAGUGAGGAUUUUCUCUAAUUUAUUAAAUUUUAAAUUCCAAGGGCAAAUUCACUUCAUGAAAAUAAUUCAUAUGACCAUAAUUCAUUCAUAAGUUUUUUUAGCAAAUCAUGUCAACCAUAAUAUGUUACAUGAAAUGGUUUCAUAAUCAUACCCGAUGAAACUAAACAUCAUUCUAACUAGUAUUCUGUACAUACAAACAUGAUGCAUGGUAUCUGGGGGUAGGGAUAGAGCCUGCCAGAUGGUAGGGUAUGUGUGUGCUCAUUGAUCUAUCGUCAUGAUUUGGAGUGCAACCUGUUGGCCAAGUUCAUAAUCAUUUGAAGCUAUGAACAACAGUGUUCCGUAGAAUGGGUGAAACAUUGCCCUGGAAUGGGCUGGAAGGGUCCAGGGUGAAUUAUUGUGGUAACAUUUAGUGACAAGAUAUUGCCCUUCCGAAUUGAAAUAAUGGGUGUGAUAUUAAAAUUGGCAUCCCCCUUUCACCCCUCUUUGGGAGUGGGCACCCCCUGUAAAUCUAUCCUUGUCUGGGGUAUGUAGCCCAUCCACUUUGUCAUCCACCACACAGUAAUACAAAGUUUAGGAUACAGUAUUUAUAUAUUUACUCGUCUAUUUAUUGCAUACGUUUCCGUAAAAUGCUCCGUGUAUUCAUGGACAAGGUUGGCAUUGGUUAUCAUGGCUUUCAUAAAUUUUCGCUCAUGAAACUAUUUCAUAAUUAAAAUAGUAGACUUUAGUAUAGCUAAUUGGGUGUAAUAUUUAAAGCACGUUUAAGAGUGU